UGCAUUCUAUUGUGGGGCCAUGUCUCUAGCUCUAGUCUCUGCUCGGAGGUUCACCUGAUCACACUAUGACCCUGAAUAUUGCUCAGGUGAACCUCCGAGCUCUGCGUCUCUCUUUCUUCUGGCGAUUGUUGAUCGGAAGGCGAGCUGCUGUCUAACCCAAAAUCAGUGAAUCAGAAGAGCUCUUGCUCGCAUCAACCGACCAUAAAGGAAAAUGCAGUCUGCGAUAAGAGCGAUUUUCCCGGCAAACCCUAACUACGCUGCAACUUGCCAAUUCUUCUCCAAAAAUUUCUCUUCCAGGCUCUUCGUCAGAGGUACUACUAAACUCCCUCUUUGUUUCUCCUCUUUCCCGCAACUGGGUUUGUGUUUACUCAGCCGACUGAUACAUAAAUAUGGAUAAAGAUAUGAACUUUGUCCCCCAGCAAAACAGAGAAAAUGCAC
rnacentral:lncRNA from 1 species